rnacentral:rRNA from 1 species
GGCGAACGGGUGAGUAACACGUGGGCAACCUGCCCCAAGGAGCGGGACAACCCGAGGAAACUCGGGCUAAUACCGCAUAAUUCGCACGGUCAUAAGUCCGUGCGGCAAAUGGUAGCUUCGGCCUCCGCCUUGGGAUGGGCCCGCGGCGCAUUAGCUUGUUGGUGAGGUAACGGCUCACCAAGGCGACGAUGCGUAGCUGGUCUGAGAGGACGAUCAGCCACACUGGGACUGAGACACGGCCCAGACUCCUACGGGAGGCAGCAGUGGGGAAUCUUGCGCAAUGGGCGAAAGCCUGACGCAGCAACGCCGCGUGAGGGAAGACGGCCUUCGGGUUGUAAACCUCUUUCAGGGGGGACGAAGCUUCCGGGGUUAAUAGCCCACGGGGUGACGGUACCCCCAGAAGAAGCCCCGGCUAACUACGUGCCAGCAGCCGCGGUAAUACGUAGGGGGCGAGCGUUGUCCGGAAUCAUUGGGCGUAAAGCGCGUGUAGGCGGCUUGGUAAGUCUGGUGUGAAACCUUGGGGCUCAACCCCAAGCCUGCACUGGAUACUGCCUCGCUUGAGUCCGGGAGGGGAGAGCGGAAUUCCUAGUGUAGCGGUGAAAUGCGCAGAUAUUAGGAAGAACACCGGUGGCGAAGGCGGCU